GAUUUUCAGAAAGUAUAAGGAAAUAAAUGUAUUUGCAUUGCAAUUCGGCAACAUUGCUAUAUAUUUGGUGUAGCCAUUAUCUCUCUCAGUUAAUAUUGUCUAGUUGUGACGGCGUCUGUUGUUCGAAGCUUAACAGGUGCAUCCAGUUUAAAGAGUUUUUUAAAGAAUUUGUUAAGGAAGGCAAUUCAUGAGAAUAAAAAAUGCCAAAUAUCCGGAAAGAUAAAACGUAUCACAAAAAAUAUACAGAACAAGAUCUUCAGUCUGCUUUUCAGGCCAUAAAAAAUGGCAUGAGCCAACGGAAAGCCGCUGAACAAUUUAAUGUGCCAAGAGCAACACUGCAGUUUAGAGCAAGCGAAAAAUUUAAU
rnacentral:lncRNA from 1 species